rnacentral:rRNA from 1 species
UACGUAGGGUGCAAGCGUUGUCCGGAAUUAUUGGGCGUAAAGAGCUUGUAGGCGGUUUGUCGCGUCUGCUGUGAAAUUUCGGGGCUCAACCCCGAACUUGCAGUGGGUACGGGCAGACUAGAGUGUGGUAGGGGGAGACUGGAAUUCCUGGUGGUAGCGGUGAAAUGCGCAGAUAUCAGGAGGAACACCGGUGGCGAAGGCGGAUCUCUGGGCCUUACCUGACGCUCAGGUGCGAAAGCUAGGGGAGCGAACAGG